GACGAACGCUGGCGGCGUGCUUAACACAUGCAAGUCGAACGGAAAGGCCCUGCUUGCAGGGUACUCGAGUGGCGAACGGGUGAGUAACACGUGGGUGAUCUGCCCUGCACUUCGGGAUAAGCCUGGGAAACUGGGUCUAAUACCGGAUAGGAGCCAUUUUUAGUGUGAUGGUUGGAAAGUUUUUUCGGUGUAGGAUGAGCUCGCGGCCUAUCAGCUUGUUGGUGGGGUAAUGGCCUACCAAGGCGGCGACGGGUAGCCGGCCUGAGAGGGUGGACGGCCACAAUGGGACUGAGAUACGGCCCAGACUCCUACGGGAGGCAGCAGUGGGGAAUAUUGCACAAUGGGAGCAAGCCUGAUGCAGCGACGCCGCGUGGGGGAUGACGGCCUUCGGGUUGUAAACUCCUUUCGCUAGGGACGAAGCUUUUUGUGACGGUACCUAGAGAAGAAGCACCGGCUAACUACGUG
rnacentral:rRNA from 1 species